AUUUUAUUCAUGUCUUUAAAAAUUCAAAAUUAGUGUGAGCUCUGCCUCCCUCAAAACUUGUUACAACAUUGGCCCAUUACCCAUCUGAUG
rnacentral:snoRNA from 1 species